rnacentral:rRNA from 1 species
UACGGGGUGCAGCAGGCGCGAAACCUUUACACUGCACGACAGUGCGAUAGGGGGAUCCCAAGUGCACAGGCAUAGCGCCUGUGCUUUUCGGUACCCUAAGGCGGUACCAGAAUAAGGGCUGGGCAAGACCGGUGCCAGCCGCCGCGGUAAUACCGGCAGCCCAAGUGAUGGCCGAUCUUAUUGGGCCUAAAGCGUCCGUAGCUGGCCACGCAAGUCCAUCGGGAAAUCCACCUGCCCAACAGGUGGACGCCCGGUAGAAACUGCGUGGCUUGGGACCGGAAGGCGCGACGGGUACGUCCGGGGUAGGAGUGAAAUCCCGUAAUCCUGGACGGACCGCCGAUGGCGAAAGCACGUCGCGAGAACGGAUCCGACAGUGAGGGACGAAAGCCAGGGUCUCGAACCGGAUUAGAUACCCGGGUAGUCCUGGCCGUAAACAAUGUCUGCUAGGUGUGGCUCCCACUACGAGUGGGUGCUGUGCCGCAGGGAAGCCGCUAAGCAGACCGC